rnacentral:tRNA from 1 species
UUAGUCGAAACCAAAAUAGAGGUAUAUUACUGUUAAUAAUAUUAUUGAAUAGAAUUCCGAUUAAG